rnacentral:misc_RNA from 1 species
ACAAACUUGGUCAUUUAGAGGAAGUAAAAGUCGUAACAAGGUUUCCGUAGGUGAACCUGCGGAAGGAUCAUUAGUGAAUAAACUUGUGUGAGUUGUUGCUGGCCACCUCGGUGGCAUGUGCACACUUGCCAUCGUUUCAUUCCUUCCCUUCCACCUGUGCACUCAUUGUAGAUCACGCUGCUAUCCUCGGGUGUAUGCUUCCUGCAUCUCACCUGGUGUGAGGGCCUGCCUUCUGGGCUGUCCUUGGGCUGCGCUGGUCUAUGUUCUCAUCAACCCAAUUGUAUGUGACCGAAUGUAUGACCUGGGUUCGUUGUAGACCCAUAAAUCCUAUACAACUUUCAACAACGGAUCUCUUGGCUCUCGCAUCGAUGAAGAACGCAGC